rnacentral:rRNA from 1 species
GGCUUAACACAUGCAAGUCGAGGGGCAGCAUAGUCUUAGCUUGCUAAGGCCGAUGGCGACCGGCGCACGGGUGAGUAACACGUAUCCAACCUGCCGUCUACUCUUGGACAGCCUUCUGAAAGGAAGAUUAAUACAAGAUGGCAUCAUGAGUCCGCAUGUUCACAUGAUUAAAGGUAUUCCGGUAGACGAUGGGGAUGCGUUCCAUUAGAUAGUAGGCGGGGUAACGGCCCACCUAGUCUUCGAUGGAUAGGGGUUCUGAGAGGAAGGUCCCCCACAUUGGAACUGAGACACGGUCCAAACUCCUACGGGAGGCAGCAGUGAGGAAUAUUGGUCAAUGGGCGAGAGCCUGAACCAGCCAAGUAGCGUGAAGGAUGACUGCCCUAUGGGUUGUAAACUUCUUUUAUAAAGGAAUAAAGUCGGGUAUGGAUACCCGUUUGCAUGUACUUUAUGAAUAAGGAUCGGCUAACUCCGUGCCAGCAGCCGCGGUAAUACGGAGGAUCCGAGCGUUAUCCGGAUUUAUUGGGUUUAAAGGGAGCGUAGAUGGAUGUUUAAGUCAGUUGUGAAAGUUUGCGGCUCAACCGUAAAAUUGCAGUUGAUACUGGAUAUCUUGAGUGCAGUUGAGGCAGGCGGAAUUCGUGGUGUAGCGGUGAAAUGCUUAGAUAUCACGAAGAACUCCGAUUGCGAAGGCAGCCUGCUAAGCUGCAACUGACAUUGAGGCUCGAAAGUGUGGGUAUCAAACAGGAUUAGAUACCCUGGUAGUCCACACGGUAAACGAUGAAUACUCGCUGUUUGCGAUAUACUGCAAGCGGCCAAGCGAAAGCGUUAAGUAUUCCACCUGGGGAGUACGCCGGCAACGGUGAAACUCAAAGGAAUUGACGGGGGCCCGCACAAGCGGAGGAACAUGUGGUUUAAUUCGAUGAUACGCGAGGAACCUUACCCGGGCUUAAAUUGCAGAUGAAUUACGGUGAAAGCCGUAAGCCGCAAGGCAUCUGUGAAGGUGCUGCAUGGUUGUCGUCAGCUCGUGCCGUGAGGUGUCGGCUUAAGUGCCAUAACGAGCGCAACCCUUGUUGUCAGUUACUAACAGGUUCCGCUGAGGACUCUGACAAGACUGCCAUCGUAAGAUGUGAGGAAGGUGGGGAUGACGUCAAAUCAGCACGGCCCUUACGUCCGGGGCUACACACGUGUUACAAUGGGGGGUACAGAGGGCCGCUACCACGCGAGUGGAUGCCAAUCCCCAAAACCUCUCUCAGUUCGGACUGGAGUCUGCAACCCGACUCCACGAAGCUGGAUUCGCUAGUAAUCGCGCAUCAGCCACGGCGCGGUGAAUACGUUCCCGGGCCUUGUACACACCGCCCGUCAAGCCAUGGGAGCCGGGGGUACCUGAAGUGCGUAACCGCGAGGAGCGCCCUAGGGUAAAACUGGUGACUGGGGCUAAGUCAUAACA